CCUAAAACAAACUAAUCUUUCACUUUUUAGACUCUUCAUCUUAUUAAAAAUUUUUUUAUGAUUAAUAUUUUUGUUUUUAUUAAAUGAUAAAUCAUAAAUAAUACUUUACGUGUGACUAUUUUUUCUAAUUUCUUAAAAAAAAUAAAUAAGACGGAUAGUUAACGCUGGACACGAAAACUAAAAGAUUGGUUUAUU
rnacentral:pre_miRNA from 1 species